UUCAAAGUGUUAGCCUAUUUCAUUACAAACUCAAAUAGGGGACACUUUGAUCUAAAAAAAAAAAAAAAGUGUUUUAGAUCUGUGCUAAUUAGCAGCUAUCCUUAAAUAUUUUUACAAUAAAUUUGAUGAAAAAAAUGUUAUAAUCUGUCAUGCUUACUGUAUGCUUAAAAUGAGAAGAUCAUACAUGAAGAUGAUAUGAUAUGACAUAUUAUUCAUGAAUCAUUGUAUUGGACAUACUGAAACAAAAAAAUUAGAAACAUGAAAGUGAAAACACAACAAAUACAGUCUAAAGCAACUGGUUUAAAAAAACAAACAAACAAACAAAAAACAAACAAACAAAAAAAAACACAGAAAUGAGAUAUUGCUAUGAUCAUGAAUGAUUGUUUUCAAAGCACAACUUCCAUUUAAAAAUAAAAGGAAUGGAGAAAGUAAUCAAAUUCUAUAUAAUUUUAUUUAAAUGUUUUGUUUUGGUUUUAAAUCAAUCUUUUUUUUUUUUCUUUUUCUUUUUUUUUUUGCCAGUAGCAAAACAUUUUUGGUAGGUUCUCAUUGUAAGGACCCAUGUGCCUGCUGAUACAAAGGUCUUCCGAAGUGCAACAGGCCCUUGAAGGGAAUUGCCUGCCCUCCAGCUCCACCCUGCAGCCAGUAUAUAAGUAAGGAAGGUGACCCAGGGCAAUUGAUGAAAGUCUGAGCUACUGCAGGAGGCACUUUGGAAUAAUGAGUUGCUGCACUACAAAGACUGCUCAGCUGUAUGGAGGCAACUAUCAAGGCAAAGGUCUUGUCGUCUGCACUUGCACAUUAGAUGACCAAGGUGCAGGAAGAAGACUGAGUUCUCCUCUGUUUAAAGAUGAACUUUGA
rnacentral:lncRNA from 1 species